GAUGAACGCUGGCGGCGUGCCUAAUACAUGCAAGUCGAGCGAACGGACGAGAAGCUUGCUUCUCUGAUGUUAGCGGCGGACGGGUGAGUAACACGUGGAUAACCUACCUAUAAGACUGGGAUAACUUCGGGAAACCGGAGCUAAUACCGGAUAAUAUUUUGAACCGCAUGGUUCAAAAGUGAAAGACGGUCUUGCUGUCACUUAUAGAUGGAUCCGCGCUGCAUUAGCUAGUUGGUAAGGUAACGGCUUACCAAGGCAACGAUGCAUAGCCGACCUGAGAGGGGGGACCGCCAACAGGGGCAGAGGACCGGGUCCAAGCCUCUGGGGGGAGGAGCAAGAGGGAGUUCUCCCGAAAAGGGGGAACGCGGGAGGGACCACCGCGGGGGGAGUAAGGAGGUUGUCGGAUUCGAAAAACUUUUUUAUGGGGAAAAAAAAUUUGGGAAAGAAUUUGUCAACUUCUGGAGGUUACUAAAUAAGAAGCCCCGGCCAACCACCGCG
rnacentral:rRNA from 1 species